CACCACACUCCUCCUCACUCCUCCUCACUCCUCCUCACUCCUCCUCACUCCUCCUCAAAAAUAAGGGUCGAAAACCACAUACACUACUACUAAUGUAGCCCCCUAUUAAAGCCAACUAUAUGACGUAUGCAUGUACUGCAUAUAUGUAUCAGUGUAUUUAUGAAUUAUGACUGUACUACUCAUCCCCCUCCCCCCUUCCUGUUCAAUGUUGACAGCUUAUAAAAUUGGUUAG